UACGAGGGGGGCAAAUGUUGUUCGGAAUCACUGGGCGUAAGGGGAGCGUAGGCGGGUUCUUAAGUUAGGUGUUUAAUCCCGGGGCCCAACCCCGGACCGGCGACUUGAAACUGGAAUCGUUGAAUAGUGGAGAGGUCAGUGGAAUUGGAGGUGUAGGACGGUGGAAUGCGUAGAGAGUCGGGAGGAACACCGGUGGCGAAGGCGGUUCUCUGGGCCUUACCUGACGCUGAGGAGCGAAAGCGUGGGGAGCGAACAGG
rnacentral:rRNA from 1 species